UGACACAGCAUUAACUUAAACAAAAGGAUGAAUUGAUCGUAACAUUUUCUCACUUAAUUUUAUGGUUGUGACAUAAAAACAGAACUUUCUGACCGUGAGAGAAAAGCCAUUACAAUUUUUAGGUUCGAUUUCCAAAAGAGAAUUGUGUAGAUUGAAAACCGGAAAUACGCAAGAACACAUUUUUCCGGUCAUUGGCCAUUACAUCACUGCAAACCACAGAAAAGGCAAAGUUCUUGUUUACAGCAGUCAGAUAUCCUUACACAGCCUAGCGUUUAGGUUAGUACACUUCGAAGCUCUUCGGGAUAAAGAUAGAGACAGCGAGACUCUACCAGGGGCAGCUUUUAAUGCGACUAAAUUUCUGAGGUAACAACACCGAAAAGAAUUAAAUAGCACUUAGACAAAACCAUGGGAUUCUCAGGUCUUCUUCGUAGAAACAGCAGCCGGAGGCGAAGCUUCAAACGAAUCGAGCCACGUGACAGAUCCGCUCAAUCAACUAGUUCUGGCGCUCAGCACCGGUCAGUGGAUACCGAAGCGAACAGCAGCGCGUCCCGGGAGAUUGGGUCCAUGCUACGGAAGAUUGGAGACGAACUUAACAACAGCAGAUUAAGCCUCAAUUCCAUCAUUUGAAAAGGUCCAUUUUUUUAGGCAUAAGACGAAACAACGUGCGAGGCGUGGUCGAAGACGAGUCGAUCCAGGCAAAAAUGGUGGUUAAAAUUUUCAGGAAUUAGCAGCGUUGAGGCGUGUAUGUCAGGGACGCUAUGGACAAACGCCGAAAGCCGCUGCUAAGUUCAAUUUGUGCGGUUAAAAACGGAGUUGCUUUGUACAAUAGGCUAAACUCAGAUGAUUCCAUUCAGUGAAUUCAAGGCGAAUCGUGUAAAUACCGUUUUGUGAGAAACAAACAACCAAUCGACGACUCAAGGAUAUAAUGUUCACGUUUGUUACGAAUCUCUAAUUCACCAUUCUCCGUUGUAGUUUAUACGCACGGUGUAUUCUAUCGGUAAUCAAAACUUUAAGUUGAAUUGCAAACCGUGUAAAUAGUCUUGCUACUACUAAAUUCUACUUGUGCAAUUAAUAAAAUAUAUGCUAAUGAGAA